rnacentral:rRNA from 1 species
ACACUCCUACGGGAGGCAGCAGUGGGGAAUUUUGGACAAUGGGCGAAAGCCUGAUCCAGCAAUGCCGCGUGAGUGAAGAAGGCCUUCGGGUUGUAAAGCUCUUUUGUCAGGGAAGAAACGGUGAGAGCUAAUAUCUUUUGCUAAUGACGGUACCUGAAGAAUAAGCACCGGCUAACUACGUGCCAGCAGCCGCGGUAAUACGUAGGGUGCAAGCGUUAAUCGGAAUUACUGGGCGUAAAGCGUGCGCAGGCGGUUUUGUAAGUCUGAUGUGAAAUCCCCGGGCUCAACCUGGGAAUUGCAUUGGAGACUGCAAGGCUAGAAUCUGGCAGAGGGGGGUAGAAUUCCACGUGUAGCAGUGAAAUGCGUAGAUAUGUGGAGGAACACCGAUGGCGAAGGCAGCCCCCUGGGUCAAGAUUGACGCUCAUGCACGAAAGCGUGGGGAGCAAACAGGAUUAGAAACCCCGGUAGUCCCAUGAU